GACGAACCGAGCGAACGUUGUUCGGAAUCACUGGGCUUAAAGGGCGCGUAGGCGGGUGCUCAAGUCCGUGGUGAAAUCCUCCGGCUCGACCGGAGAACUGCCUCGGAUACUGGGCGUCUCGAGUGUGGUAGGGGUAUGCGGAACUAUCGGUGGAGCGGUGAAAUGCGCAGAUAUCAGGAGGAACACCGGUGGCGAAGGCGGAUCUCUGGGCCGAUACUGACGCUGAGGAGCGAAAGCGUGGGGAGCGAACAGG
rnacentral:rRNA from 1 species